UACGGAGGAUCCACGCGUUAUCCGGAUUCAUUGGGUUUAAAGGGUGCGUAGGCGGAAUGAUAAGUCAGUGGUGAAAUCCUUCAGCUUAACUGGAGAACUGCCAUUGAUACUGUCAAUCUUGAGUACAUUUGAUGUGGGCGGAAUGUGUCAUGUAGCGGUGAAAUGCUUAGAUAUGACACAGAACACCGAUUGCGAAGGCAGCUCACAAAACUGUAACUGACGCUGAGGCACGAAAGCGUGGGUAUCAAACAGG
rnacentral:rRNA from 1 species